UGCGGAAGGAUCAUUGUCGAAACCUGCAAGGCAGACCGCGAACACGUGUUUAACCGUGUCGGGGCCGUGGCGUGGGGGCGCGUUCCCCCCGCCGCGGUCCCCGCUCCCCGCCGGUGCUUGCGCUGUGCGGGCUAACGAACCCCGGCGCGGAACGCGCCAAGGAAAACCAAAACGAAGCGCCCUCCCCCGUCCCGUGCCCCGUCCGCGGUGUGCACGAAAGGGGGGAAGGCCGCGCCUCACUUAUGUCAAAACGACUCUCGGCAACGGAUAUCUCGGCUCUCGCAUCGAUGAAGAACGUAGCGAAAUGCGAUACUUGGUGUGAAUUGCAGAAUCCCGUGAACCAUCGAGUUUUUGAACGCAAGUUGCGCCCGAAGCCUUCGGGCCGAGGGCACGCCUGCCUGGGCGUCACGCAUCGCGUCACCCCCCCUCCCCCUCUCCGACGGAGCGGGCGGGGCGGGGGUGGAGAAUGGCCUCCCGUGCGCCCCAUCGCACGGCCGGCCCAAAUGCNAUCCCCCGGCGACGCCAGUNNNNACCAGUGGUGGUUGAAUCCUCAACUCGCGUGCUGUCNGUCGUGCAGACCGGCGUCGUCCAGACGGGCAUCCCCAACGACCCAAUUGGCCCUUCGACGCUUCCAACCGCGACCCCAGGUCAGGCGGUAUUACCC
rnacentral:rRNA from 1 species